rnacentral:rRNA from 1 species
GAUCCUGGCUCAGGAUGAACGCUAGCUACAGGCUUAACACAUGCAAGUCGAGGGGCAGCAUGGUAUUAGCUUGCUAAGACUGAUGGCGACCGGCGCACGGGUGAGUAACACGUAUCCAACCUCCCGCAUACUCGGGAAUAGCCUUUCGAAAGAAAGAUUAAUGCCCGAUGGUUUCAAGGGAUUGCAUGGUAUCUUGAAUAAAGAUUCAUCGGUAUGCGAUGGGGAUGCG